GUGUGUGUGCGUAUCUUUGUGUGUAUGUGUGGAGCUCGUUCUUACAGCAUCCCUUGCUUCGACAGCGCCUCCAGCUCUGAGAAGAGAACCUUCAAGUCCGGUCCCAGGGUCCCCGGCCGAGGUGCAGUCUUUGCCCCUGUCCCCGCCCGUACAAAGUCCCCCUCCAAGCAACGACCCGGCAGUGUGCGUAACCUCCAAAGCAAACCCGGAGUCAGUUUCGCCCGAGCCGAAGAAACCAAGCCGCAAAGAACACAAAAGGCGUCAUCUCGGAAGAAAGCCAUGCCCGGUGCACAACGCCUCGACGUGAGGGCAUUCCCGGCAUUUGGCGUCUCCUCCGAACAAAAAUUUACAAUCUCCCGCUUUUCCUCUUUUUCUUUUUCAGGCACCGAAGGUCGAA
rnacentral:misc_RNA from 1 species